rnacentral:rRNA from 1 species
GCCCUUACGGCUACCUUGUUACGACUUCACCCCAGUCAUGAACCACAAAGUGGUGAGCGCCCCCCCGAAGGUUAAGCUACCCACUUCUUUUGCAGCCCACUCCCAUGGUGUGACGGGCGGUGUGUACAAGGCCCGGGAACGUAUUCACCGUGGCAUUCUGAUCCACGAUUACUAGCGAUUCCGACUUCAUGGAGUCGAGUUGCAGACUCCAAUCCGGACUACGACGAGCUUUGUGAGAUUAGCUCCACCUCGCGGCUUUGCAACCCUCUGUACUCGCCAUUGUAGCACGUGUGUAGCCCUACUCGUAAGGGCCAUGAUGACUUGACGUCGUCCCCACCUUCCUCCGGUUUAUCACCGGCAGUCUCCCUAGAGUUCCCACCAUUACGUGCUGGCAAAUAAGGAUAGGGGUUGCGCUCGUUGCGGGACUUAACCCCAACAUUUCACAACACGAGCUGACGACAGCCAUGCAGCACCUGUCUCAAAGUUCCCGAAGGCACCAAUCCAUCUCUGGAAAGUUCUCUGGAUGUCAAGAGUAAGUAAGGUUCUUCGCGUUGCAUCCAAUUAAACCACAUGCUCCACCGCUUGUGCGGGCCCCCGUCCAAUCAUUUGAGUUUUUAACCUUGCGGCCGUACUCCCCA